GAUGAACGCUAGCGGGAGGCCUAACACAUGCAAGCCGAGCGGUAUUUCUUCUUCGGGAGAGAGAGAGCGGCGUACGGGUGCGGAACGCGUGUGCAACCUGCCUUUAUCUAGAGGAUAGCCUUUCGAAAGGAAGAUUAAUACUCUAUAAUAUAUUAAUUGGCAUCAAUUGAUAUUGAAAACUCCGGUGGAUAGAGAUGGGCACGCGCAAGAUUAGCUAGUUGGUGAGGUAACGGCUCACCAAGGCAAUGAUCUUUAGGGGGCCUGAGAGGGUGAUCCCCCACACUGGUACUGAGACACGGACCAGACUCCUACGGGAGGCAGCAGUGAGGAAUAUUGGUCAAUGGGUGCAAGCCUGAACCAGCCAUCCCGCGUGAAGGAUUAAGGUCCUAUGGAUUGUAAACUUCUUUUGUAUAGGGAUAAACCUACCCUCGUGAGGGUAGCUGAAGAUACUAUACGAAUAAGCACCGGCUAACUCCGUGCCAGCCGCCGCGGUAA
rnacentral:rRNA from 1 species